GACGAACGCUGGCGGCGUGCUUAACACAUGCAAGUCGAGCGGUAAGGCCCUUUCGGGGGUACACGAGCGGCGAACGGGUGAGUAACACGUGGGUGACCUGCCCUCAGCUCUGGGAUAAGCCUGGGAAACCGGGUCUAAUACCGGAUAUGACUCCAUGACGCAUGUUGUGGGGUGGAAAGCCUUGUGCGGCUGAGGAUGGGCCCGCGGCCUAUCAGCCUGUUGGUGGGGUGAUGGCCUACCAAGGCGACGACGGGUAGCCGGCCUGAGAGGGCGACCGGCCACACUGGGACUGAGACACGGCCCAGACUCCUACGGGAGGCAGCAGUGGGGAAUCUUGCGCAAUGGGCGAAAGCCUGACGCAGCGACGCCGCGUGAGGGAUGACGGCCUC
rnacentral:rRNA from 1 species